ensembl:lincRNA
CGUGAAGGUCCCGGCGACCGAAGAAAGGCGAAACCGCUCCGCGUGGGCUGUCCGGAGUGGCAUCGCGCCUUGUUCGAGUCCGAAGAGGUUCCCGCUUCUCUAAGCCGGCUGAAGGGAUGCGAGUCUCCUUCUCUUGUCCCACCGGGAGUGCGUCCUGACACCGAGUGGACUCCGCCCCAAGAGUGGGAGCAUCCUGAACGUUCAGAGGGCAUCCUGGGCCGUGGAAGGCAUUCGGCCACACCCCGCUCUUCGCCGGUCCCUCACCCGCCAACGCCAGCCCAGGUGGUCAGGCUCAGAAUGGACUGUGAGCCUGUGUGUUAUGGAUCUCUGGUUGUAGAGACAGAAGGACAAACAUGGAAGCCACCAAGGAUGCUGCCAGCUGAAUGAGUUGUUGCUCUAUGGCUUGCACAAAGUCAAGUGAAUGAUCUUCCCACGUUAUGUAAUAUAUCAACGGACUGCUUACCUUAACCCCUUUAAUCUUGAUUAUUCUGGAAAGUAGAACUUGAAACAAAAAGUAGAUACAUUCUACAGGGAAUAUGACCCUCAGAGAAGGAAAGAAAGACAGAGGGGUUAAACCUGAACACGUGAAAGAGAAUCCAAGGUAAUCGGGGAAAGCAUUGUCAAGAGCUCACUAACUAUUUAAGACAAAAGCAUCCCAUAUAUCUUAAUAAAAUUUGUCUGACUGAUGCCUUUUUGAUGGGCAAGAGAGGAAAGAGAGAGACACAGACAGACAGACAGACAGACAGCAAGGAGGAUUUUUCUUCUCUAUUAGCAGCUAUCUCUGUGUGAGGGUUUCUCCCUUCGAAUGUCAAUUCUGCCAUCCCCGUAGGCUGCAAGGGAAUCUGCUUGGUACUGCCACGUCAGAGAAGCCUCAGUACGAAUCUAGGCCUAUUUCUGCCUUUGGACCAUGUUGUACAUUUAGUGUUUGGGAAGAGAGAAAUCAUCAAAGGUGCACCCAAAGAAACAUCUGAAUGAAAGCUCAGUGGCAUUUGCUUUUCCCAAGGAUCAGCAUCAUGGUUUCAGGUUUAACACACUGGAGAAAUACCUAGCCUCCAUGUCACCCCCCUACAUCCACGACACUCCCUCAGGAUCACCAGUGAGUAGCACUUCUCAAAGAGAAAGCAGUAGAGUUUAUUGCUGCUGAAAGUCUCUGAAUAAAUACACGUUCCAAAUCACAACCUGAAAAGGCUCCAGAAAGAAUGCACAUGGUCUAAAAAAUGGAUAGACUGGUGUUCCAUGCCCUGUCUUGUUACCCUGAGACAUGAUGUUGGGUAGAGUUGGUCUAGAUACAAUAUUUGCAGGUGCCUACGUGUAGGGGUCUCACACUGCCAUAUACAGUCAUUAUAGUGUCAGGAGAUAAGGAAAUCUCUUUUUGGUGCAGCUGAGAACAUUAGAAAAAUAAUUGCAACUGCCUUCAGACCUAAGGGACUCUCUAGAGAAAUACAGUGUGACCUCUGAAAAUGCUUUAGGUUCUGUCAAAUAUCAACAUGGAGAUCCAUAUCAGUGAUUACCAAAAAGGCCAGUAUUCAUUGUUCUUGAAGCUAGUCACAGAUAGAGAUCAAUCAAGAGUCAAAUACUGUAUCACCUAACCAUUUAGAGAUUGGAUGCAGCCCUGAGUGUAAAGGAAGUACUGUGGACCCCUUCCCCCAUGAAGGUCAUAUGUUCAAAUCUCACCCCUCCCAAAGGUGACAAUAUUAGGGGGCCGGGACUUCCAGGAGUGAACAGAACAUAUUCCCUUAUUAAAAAGGCUCAAGGGAGCUCACUUACCCUUCUGUCAAGUGACAACAGUCAGCUGCUGUGAGCAAUUAAGUGUGUUCUAGCCACUGACGCUGUCAGUGCCUUGAUCUUGAAUCUUGAAUUUUCUAGCCUGCAGAAAUAUGAGACGUUUCUGUUACUUAUAAUUUACUCAAUAUUUAGUAGGUGUUCUGUUAUCUUAUUUUAAAAUACAGUGCCUGUAUUUAUUCUGAAAGUAAAGGACUUUGGGUGUGUGUGUGUGUGUGUGUUCACAUACAUAGCAUAGACAAUAUGUAAGAACUGUGUUCAGUUUUGGAAAAAAUAAAGCCAUGUUGCC